UACGUAGGGUGCAAGCGUUGUCCGGAAUUAUUGGGCGUAAAGGGCGCGUAGGCGGCCACCGCAAGUCGACUGUGAAAUCUCCGGGCUUAACCCGGAAAGGUCAGCCGAUACUGCGGGGCUAGAGUGCAGAAGGGGCAACUGGAAUUCUCGGUGUAGCGGUGAAAUGCGUAGAUAUCGAGAGGAACACCUGCGGCGAAGGCGGGUUGCUGGGCUGACACUGACGCUGAGGCGCGAAAGCGUGGGGAGCGAACAGG
rnacentral:rRNA from 1 species